rnacentral:rRNA from 1 species
CCUACGGGCGGCAGCAGUGAGGAAUAUUGGUCAAUGGGCGAGAGCCUGAACCUGCCAAGUCGCGUGAAGGAUGAAGGAUCUAUGGUUUGUAAACUUCUUUUAUAUGGGAAUAAAGUGAGGAACGUGUUCCUUUUUGUAUGUACCAUAUGAAUAAGCAUCGGCUAACACCGUGCCAGCAGCCGCGGUAAUACGGAGGAUGCGAGCGUUAUCCGGAUUUAUUGGGUUUAAAGGGUGCGUAGGUGGUUAAUUAAGUCAGCGGUGAAAGUUUGUGGCUCAACCAUAAAAUUGCCGUUGAAACUGGUUGACUUGAGUAUAUGUGAGGUAGGCGGAAUGCGUGGUGUAGCAGUGAAAUGCAUAGAUAUCACGCAGAACACCGAUUGCGAAGGCAGGUUACUAAACUAUAACUGACACUGAAGCACGAAGGCGAGGGGAGCGAACAGGAUUAGAUACCCCAGUAGUC